UUAAGACUGAAAGUAAGGUUUUCCUUUGUUCACAAGAUUUUUUUCAUCGUGCAAGUUACCAUACAGCCAGUAAUUUCAAUCUUAAUCAUGUCUAAAACUACCAGAUUAAUAACAGAAUUUAUUUAUAUAAAUGUUCUUGUAGAGGAGCCUGGUGGAAUGACAAACCUAAUGUGUGAGAUCCUGGCUGGUCUGGCUGUUUUCUUCACUAUAGUCAUAAUUGUUCUGGCUGUUAAAAUCAGAAAACUUCAGACAGCUCUGAAUGAAGAACCGCAGCCAAAGGAAAACAAGAAUCUGGGCUCAGAUGAACUGAACUACGCAGCUUUAAGCUUCCAGCCAAAAGCAAAAAGAAACCGCAGGCCUGAGAGAGAACUGGAGCCAAAUGUUG